GACGAACGCUGGCGGCGUGCUUAACACAUGCAAGUCGAACGAUGAAGCCCAGCUUGCUGGGUGGAUUAGUGGCGAACGGGUGAGUAACACGUGAGUAACCUGCCCUGGACUCUGGGAUAACCCCGAGAAAUCGGAGCUAAUACCGGAUAGGACCUUUCCCCGCAUGGGGUUUGGUGGAAAGUUUUUCGGUUUGGGAUGGACUCGCGGCCUAUCAGCUUGUUGGUGAGGUAAUGGCUCACCAAGGCGUCGACGGGUAGCCGGCCCGAGAGGGUGACCGGCCACACUGGGACUGAGACACGGCCCAGACUCCUACGGGAGGCAGCAGUGGGGAAUAUUGCACAAUGGGCGCAAGCCUGAUGCAGCAACGCCGCGUGCGGGAUGACGGCCUUCGGGUUGUAAACCGCUUUUAGUAAGGAAGAAGGGGCUUCGGCCUUGACGGUACUUGCAGAAAAAGGACCGGCUAACUACGUGCCAGCAGCCGCAGUAAGAC
rnacentral:rRNA from 1 species